rnacentral:lncRNA from 1 species
UUUUCUUUCCAAACUUUUCCUCUCGCCCUCUAUGAAAUUAUUCUUCCUACAACUAAAAUUUCUUGUUCAGUAUUAUACCUAUAAUACUACAAAGCCUUGCUUCGUUUUAAGUGUUUUAACUUCCAAUCACCGCUACCCUUUCUGAUUGAUCUGAGUCCCAUAACGCAUGUCAAGGCUCUGCCCGACUAAGUUCGUUUGGAUUCUAUCUCGGGACUUCGGGACAAGGUUGAAUUAAGGGUACUAUACUUAACACGAGUGCAUUAUAUUUUAAAUAGCUUAAAAGUUAUACCCAAAAUUUAUACCAGGAGUCCUUCUAGUUGAACCCUAAAGUUACACAGUGGGUCCAUUCCUUUUUCUCACCAUUUUAUUCUCUUUUUGUAAUUUACCCAAAACUAUUAUUUAUUAUUCUAUUCUCACCAAAAGUCAUAUCUACUAUUUUAUUUACUCAAUAGGAAACCCUAGUUGAGACACCCAAGUAAUUCUACACAAUAUCUAAAAUUUUCAUAACAAACAGAAUCAGGAUCAGGGCCCCUAAAACUCAGGGGGGUAAACCCUAGUUGAUGAUUAUCAAUAGAAACUCGUGUCUAAAUCUGAUUGGACAAAACUAUAAAGUCAGCAGGCCUAGUCCCAAACGUGGCUACCCUAUAGUCGGUUCGUACCCCUUACGGACCGUAAGGGAUAAGGCUUACGGUCCGUAAGCCUGUCAAAUUUCGUGUAUAAAUAGCAGGCAUCGGCACUUGCAGUCUGCUGUUCAUUCGACGAUUAAAUUCCGAUUAUACACCGAGUUAUCGUCCAAAUACUCUAAAAACACACAAUCGAAUCACUAAUUAGUAUAGCAGGGUGCUACUACGAUACCGGGUAUUAACUCGAUCGCUAUUACGAUUCAUUUUCCGACCGAUCAAUAUAUCCAAUGGAUGUUUAAGUGCCGCCCACGUUAGGGUUAUACUUUGUCAUUCGUCAUUAAUUCGAUGGAUGUUUAAGUAUCGUACUUUGUCGUUCGUCGUUAAUUCGAUGGAUGUUUAAGUAUCGCACUUUGUCGUUCGUUGUGAGAAUUUGAUCUCGUGAGUUAUCGUAAUUGUUGUAUUAAGUUACCUACCUAGUUCGUAUGCACUAGGUUACAAGGCUAAAUCAAUAGGCUAAGCUCUGCCUGUAUAAAUCUGCAAUAUAUCAAGGCUUAUCUGUAGACUAAACUUUGGCCGUAUGAAUCUGCAUGAUUAUAAUGUAAUUACAGUACAUUGGAAUAAGAAUUGGAUCCGACACCGAAGGCAUCAAGAAGUGGCUUAUUUUAUUAAUUAAAUCAAAUUAAGAAAUAUUGUUUUUAUUAAAAGCUAACUUUGUAAAACAUGGAAUUUAUUCCAUCUAUUUAAAUAAAAUCCGGUGUUUCUAAAACUCUGAUAUUUUUCCUAACUCACGGUCCUGAUGAAAUUUCCGCUGCAAUGUUUUUCAAAAAUAACCACCGGUACCGCUGGACUGCUCGCGGCUUCCGAUUCCAGCUAGGAUGGGGUCGGGGGUCAUGACAGACUAUAAUAAAAAGCAUAAGAUCAUCUGUAGUGGUUCACCCCCCCCCCCAUUUGGGGCAUUUAUCGUCAUCUGGUUUCCACGUCAGCAUGACCACUUUUAAUCACAAAUAGGGUUGUUCAAAAAACUCGCGGCUGGCAGUUCGCUCGAAAAAAGUUCGAAAAAAGCUCGGCUCGAAAAAAGCUCGGCUCGAAAUUGGCUCGGCUCGAAAUUGGCUCGAUCUAAACGAGCCGAGCCCGAGCCAAGGUAGGUUCGGUUCGUGGCUUGUAACACCUCGAAAAUUCACGUCCUGUAAUGUAUUGACACGUGUCAUAGGCUUUGACCAUGUGAAAGAAUACUCUAGAAGGACUAAAGUUGACAAACAUGGAAAAUAUGUGAAUAUAAGUGUUCAAAAUGUCAACAAUGGAUAAAUGUACCCUACAAUAUCCCUACAUGAUGUUUAUACCCUUAAACGAAUGAUUUAUGGAUCAUACGAAGCUAAUUGUGAAAUAAUGUGAGAGAUUA